rnacentral:rRNA from 1 species
UACGAAGGGGGCGAGCGUUAUCCGGAAUUAUUGGGCGUAAAGCGUCCGCAGGUGGCACCUCAAGUCUGCUGUCAAAGACUGGGGCUUAACCCCAGAAAGGCAGUGGAAACUGAAGCGCUAGAGUGCAGUAGGGGUAGAGGGAAUUCCCGGUGUAGCGGUGAAAUGCGUAGAGAUCGGGAAGAACAUCGGUGGCGAAAGCGAUCUGCUGGACUGCAACUGACACUCAGGGACGAAAGCUAGGGGAGCGAAUGGG